GACGAACGCUGGCGGCGUGCUUAACACAUGCAAGUCGAACGGUGAAGCGCUUGCCUUUUUGGUGGGUGUGGAUGAGUGGCGAACGGGUGAGUAACACGUGAGUAACCUGCCCUCUUCUUCUGGAUAACCUCAUGAAAGUGGGGCUAAUACGGGGUAUUCCGGGUCUGUCGCAUGGCGGGUUUGGGAAAGAUUGCGCCUUUGGGGGUUUUCGGUGGGGGUUGGGCUCGCGGCCUAUCAGCUUGUUGGUGGGGUGAUGGCCUACCAAGGCGGUGACGGGUAGCCGGCCUGAGAGGGUGGACGGCCACACUGGGACUGAGACACGGCCCAGACUCCUGCGGGAGGCAGCAGUGGGGAAUAUUGCACAAUGGGCGCAAGCCUGAUGCAGCGACGCCGCGUGAGGGAUGGAGGCCUUCGGGUUGUGAACCUCUUUCGCCAGUGAAGCAGGCCUGCUCCUGUGUGGGUGGGUUGACGGUAGCUGGAUAAGAAGCGCCGGCUAACUACGUG
rnacentral:rRNA from 1 species